rnacentral:rRNA from 1 species
GACGAACCGUGCAAACGUUGUUCGGAUUCACUGAGCUUAAAGGGCGCGUAGGCGGCUUGUCAAGUCAGGGGUGAAAUCUUUCGGCUCAACCGGAAAAUAGCUUCUGAUACUGGCAGGCUGGAGGGAGGUAGGGGCGGAUGGAACUUCCGGUGGAGCGGUGAAAUGCGUAGAUAUCGGAAGGAACGCCGGUGGCGAAAGCGAUCCGCUGGACCUCUUCUGACGCUGAUGCGCGAAAGCCAGGGGAGCAAACGGG